rnacentral:rRNA from 1 species
CCUACGGGAGGCAGCAGUGGGGAAUAUUGGACAAUGGGGGCAACCCUGAUCCAGCCAUGCCGCGUGUGUGAAGAAGGCCCUCGGGUUGUAAAGCACUUUCAGUGAGGAAGAACGCCUGGUGGUUAAUACCCAUCAGGAAAGACAUCACUCACAGAAGGAGCACCGGCUAACUCCGUGCCAGCAGCCGCGGUAAUACGGAGGGUGCGAGCGUUAAUCGGAAUUACUGGGCGUAAAGCGCGCGUAGGUGGCUUGAUAAGCCGGUUGUGAAAGCCCCGGGCUCAACCUGGGAACGGCAUCCGGAACUGUCAAGCUAGAGUGCAGGAGAGGAAGGUAGAAUUCCCGGUGUAGCGGUGAAAUGCGUAGAGAUCGGGAGGAAUACCAGUGGCGAAGGCGGCCUUCUGGACUGACACUGACACUGAGGUGCGAAAGCGUGGGUAGCAAACAGGAUUAGAUACCCUGGUAGUC